GCUUUGUGGUGGACAAUUCGAAAUUAACAGGCUCUUCCUGCUAUGCAAGGCAGUGACAAGCUGAAGAUGGAGACUGCACAUCAUGGGAGAGGAACGUUUACUCCACAUGGAAUCCCUGUAUUUUUAUGACAUGUACAGUUGGUUGUAAUGCCACACUACGUAUCAUGUACAACAUCAAAGAGCUAAGUAAGUAUAAAGUGUAUCUGAAAUGUGCCUAUCUCUGAGGUGGACAGAUGCCAAUCAGUGCACAAGAGCUGACCCUACUUCGAUUUGUUGUGUACCUUCGUUAUCUGCCCAUUGUAAUGGAAAUCUGCCGCGCAUCAUGGACCCAAAGUGUGGAGCAUCAAGUGUUCACAGCUUCCCAUUGUGAAGUGAAGGUGUUGGGAGCACCUUGCCUUCAGGACAAAAACAGCAGAACGGUGCUGCGAUGACAAGAAGCUGAGUGCUGAGCCCACGCAGGGCACUGGGGAGGGUCACUGGGAGUGAGUCAGGUUGGUGUCUGCUGAGAUGGUUUUGUUUGCACUGUUUUCUCACAUAUGUAUUCAAUAAGGCUUUUGUUUUACUGAGAAGAG
rnacentral:lncRNA from 1 species